UGCACAGAAUCACUUGAAUACUAGGAAUUGUGAUGACAUUGAAGUGGAAUCGCAGGCACAAUGGACAUGGUGAAAAGCACACAAGGCAAACCCUGCCCAGCUGAUUGUGCUUAGCCUAACAUGCAAAAGAGGCACUUCCCAAGCUUGCCAGUACCCCAGGAGGUAUUAAGGCUUUCUCUGAAACCUAGUCAUAUUGAGGGCAGCCCGGCUCAACUUGGAAAGCUCUGAGGAGUUCUGUGAAAGGUGGUUCAGAUGUAUGUCAGUAGACAGUGCCGAUAAAUGCUCUUCCAGCCUGAUCCUGUUCGAUCUGAUGUACAAACAGAUGCAAAAGAUAUUCAAGCCUAUGGAGUGAAACAGUGGUGCUUGCUGCUCGACAUGAAAGAUAUAUCUUCUGUGGGAGCUCAUUUCUUUUCUUUUGUUACAACAGAAAAUAAAAAGAUUUUAAUAAAAGUGAAGAUAAAACACUUGAUAAUAUGUCUGUGAACAUAGUUCCAUUUUACCUCAGCUGUGGCAUGAAAGACCAUGAAAUAUCUUCAGCUGGCUCUUCAUUAAAUCACACUAUCUUUAAACAUAUUUCAAGGAAAGUAAG
rnacentral:lncRNA from 1 species